GAAAAAAAUGAUGGGUUCCAAGGCAUUUUUUGUUUCUUGGCAUUUUUUUGGUUAUUUUUGCAAUAAUAAGCUCUGAGGUUGGAGCUAGGGAGUUGGCUGAGACCUCAAUGAAAUCAGAUGAUGUACAUGAUGAUGGAUAUAAUGACAUUGACGGAUAUCCCAGAGAUGAGCAUGAUAAAUAUAACAAUGGAUAUAAAUAUUUUGGUGGCAGAUAUUAUCCUCCACGUGAUGGAUAUAAUUUUCCAGGUAGGGGAUAUAAACCCCCACAUGACGAUUAUAACAACAUAUAUAAAUCUCUUGGUGGUGCAUAUAACAAUGGAUACAACCCUCCAAGUGGCGAAUAAACCCCCCUACAUGACAAAUAUAAACCUCGGUGUGGCGAAUAUAAACCUCCAUAUGACAAAUAUAAAUCCCCUAGUGAUGAGUAUAAACCUCCAGGUUAUAAACCCCCUAGUGAUGAAUACAAACCUCCAGGUGCACAUGACAAAUAUAAACCCCCUAGUGAUGAAUAGAAACCUCCAAGUGACAAAUAUAGCUCCCCACAUGACAAAUAUAAAUCUCCUAGUAACGAAUACAAAUCUCCAGGUGAUAAAUAUAACCCUCCACGUGACAAAUAUAAACCCCCUAGUGAUGAAUAUAAAUCUCCAGGUGACAAAUAUAACCACUCACAUGACAAAUAUAAAUCUCCUAGUGAUGAAUACAAACCUCUAGGUGACAAAUAUAAACAUCCUAGUGACGAAUAUAAAACCUCCAGGUGACAAAUAUAAUCCUCCACAUGAUAAAUAUAAACCUUCUAGUGACAAAUACAAACCUCUAGGUGACAAAUAUAACCCUCCACAUGACAAAUAUAAACACCCCAGUGACGAAUACAAACCUCCAAGUGUCAAACAUAACCCCUCCCCCCAUAUGAAAAAUAUAAACCCCCUAGUGAUGAAUACAAACCUCCAAGUGACAAAUAUAAACCUCAUAGUGACGAAUACAACCUCUAGGUGAAAAAUAUAACCCUCCACAUUACAAAUAUUAACCCCCUAGUGAUGGAUACAAUUCUUCAGGUGAAGGCCAUGAAUAAGUGAUCGAUUAGCCAAUUGCCUCACAACAAAUCAUCAUGUAAUAUUAUAAAACCAUUGUACGUAGUGGCAAGAUCUAUAAUAGUAAUAGUCUUGCUAUUCUAAACCUUGCUAAAAAAAAUCGUAUGAAUAAAACUGCAUUGAGUUUCAUAUGUAUGGUUGAUCAUGUAAUCUUUUGUUGUAUAGCAUAACACAAUAUAUUGUGCUGAUAUAUUUUCA